GACCCGACUGCUAUCGGAUUGAGAUUAAGCCAUGCGAGUUGAACAUUUUUUAACUAUGUGAAAAGUGUAGCAUACGGCUCAGUAACACGUAGUCAACCUACCCUGAAGUCACAAAUAACCCCGGGAAACUGGGAUUAAUAGGUGAUAUGUCAUUUUUUCUGGAAGGGUUUAUGAUUUAAACGAUUAUCAAGCUUGUUUGAUUAAUUGCUUUAGGAUGGGACUGCGACCGAUCAGGUUGUUGGUGGGGUAAUGGCCUACCAAGCCGAUAACCGGUGCGGGCUUUGAGAGAAGGAGCCCGGAGAUGGACACUGAGAAAAGGGUCCAGGCCCUACGGGGCGCAGCAGGCGCGAAAACUUCGCAAUGUGCGAAAGCACGACGAGGUUAGUCCGAGUGUCAUUUGCUGAAUUUGACUUUUAAUAAAUGUAAGUAGUUUAUGGAAUAAGGGGAGGGAAAGUCUGGUGUCAGCCGCCGCGGUAAUACCAGCUCCCCGAGUGGUUGGGACGAUUAUUGGGCCUAAAGCAUCCGUAGCCUGUUUUGUAGGUCUCAUGUUAAAUCCAUUCGCUUAACGAAUGGUCUGCAUGAGAUACCGCAUUGCUAGGAGGCGGGAGACGUGAACGGUAUUCCAUGGGUAGGGGUAAAAUCCUCUGAACCAUGGAAGACCACCAGUAGCGAAGGCGGUUCACGAGAACGCGCUCGACGGUGAGGGAUGAAAGCUGGGGUAGCGAACCGGAUUAGAUACCCGGGUAGUCCCAGCUGUAAACGGUGCAAGCUAGGUGAUGGAUUAGCCAUGUGUUAAUCCAGUGCCGCAGGGAAGCCGUUAAGCUUGCCGCCUGGGGAGUACGGUCGCAAGGCUGAAACUUAAAGGGAUUGGCGGGGGAGCACCACAAGGAAUGAAGCCUGCGGUUCAAUUGGAUUCAACGC
rnacentral:rRNA from 1 species